AUUCUAGAGAAAGUAAUCAGGGAGCUGGAGAGUCAGUCUGGGCCAGGUGGCUUACAUGAAAAUACUCUCCUCCUUGUGAUGGGUGACCAUGGACAAACCCUAAAUGGUGAUCAUGGUGGAGGGAGUGCUGAAGAGGUGGAAACAUCAAUUUUUGCCAUGAAUUUUAAGCAGCCCCCAGUUUCCAUUCCAUCUGAACUUGACACUUCAUUUUGUGAGCAAGAUUCGGACGGGAAGAAGAUGUGUACCAGCUCCAUUCAACAGGUGAGGUUGUUCAUUUAUUUUUGGACUGGGAUUCACUCAUGAUUUCACUCAAAUCAUGC
rnacentral:misc_RNA from 1 species